rnacentral:Y_RNA from 1 species
GACUGGUCCGGUGGUAGUGGGUUAUCAGAACUUAUUGACAUUAGUGACCUGAAAGUUGGUAUACAGUCCUAUAUUGCUAAAUUUGAUUAGCUUUAA